UGAUAUGCAAGACGAUGUUUAUUUCAGGACCUCUGGCUCAAAGAAACCAAUAGGGGGUUAUCUCCAUGUGAAUUAUGGUGGAAUUAUUCUCAUGCUGAACUUAUGCAGGAAUAAGGGAUAGGCCUCCUAUGGGAGUCAACAAAGCAUGGCACAUCAAGUUGAGCUAGGACCAAGCUCCUCCCCCUACAUCAAAGUUGAGUGAGGCAACUCAGAACGUGGAAUGAGUUCCCAAAAAUCAUUCUACAUGCUGACAUCCAGAAAUGCCAGCACCAUUUGUUGAAGAUGCUUUCUUUCUUCAAUUGUAUAAUUUUGGCUCCUUCAUCAAAAAAUCAGGUGUUCACAGAAUUUGUUGUUUAGCAUCAUGAGAUCUUAAACAUUUCCCAUCACAACCUUCUCUGAGUUCAAGAUCCAUAAAGCACAAGUCUUUACAGUGUUACAUCAAGGUCUACAGGAGAUUGGUUCAAGUGAUCAAUAUUUAGAGACACCACAAUAAAUACUUUGUGAAGACCUCUCCUCUUGCCCACGAGGUUGAACUGAAUGGAAUUGUACUCGCCACAUCACCUAUGAAAACUGGAUCUCAACCUCAUUUUGUUGUCAGAGGUAAAUGUGAAGCUGAUACGAACACCUUAAGAUUUAAUCAAUAG